GGGGCAAGCGUUGUCCGGCAUUAUUGGGCGUAAAGCGUACGCAGGCGGCUUUGCAAGACCGGUGUGAAAUCCCCGGGCCUAACCUGGGAACUGCAUUUGUGACUGCAUAGCUAGAGUUUGUCAGAGGGGGGUGGAAUUCCACGUGUAGCAGUGAAAUGCGUAGAUAUGUGGAGGAAUACCGAUGGCGAAGGCAGCCCCCUGGGAUAACACUGACGCUCAUGCACGAAAGCGUGGGGAGCAAACAGG
rnacentral:rRNA from 1 species